CUACCCGGGUUUCUAAUCCUGUUUGCUCCCCACGCUUUCGUGCAUGAGCGUCAGUGUUAGCCCAGGGGGCUGCCUUCGCCAUCGGUGUUCCUCCACAUCUCUACGCAUUUCACUGCUACACGUGGAAUUCCACCCCCCUCUGCCACACUCCAGCCCGCUAGUUUCCAAUGCAAUUCCCAGGUUAAGCCCGGGGCUUUCACACCAGACAUCACGAACCGCCUGCGCACGCUUUACGCCCAGUAAUUCCGAUUAACGCUCGCACCCUACGUAUUACCGCGGCUGCUGGCAC
rnacentral:rRNA from 1 species